AAGACUAUAUUUUCAGGGAUCCUUUCUGUAUUUCAUUACCAGAGAAGUUUCUCUGAACCUGUAGAGCACAGAAACCAGGAAGAGGAGGCAGCACCCAGCUCUCUCCUGAACAUGAAGCCAGCCCUAGGUGUUACUUCUUUGCAACUGACAUUUACCAUCAGUGACUGUUCUUCUCUUCCUUUGGGAGAGUAAGAGGGAGAGGAUAAAGUCUGAAUGGU
rnacentral:snoRNA from 1 species